AUUGAACGCUGGCGGCAGGCCUAACACAUGCAAGUCGAACGGUAACACGCUACAGCUUGCUGUUUCGCUGACGAGUGGCGGACGGGUGAGAAGUGUCUGACCAACUGUCUGCUUGAGGGGGAUAACUACUGGAAACGGUAGCUACUACCGCAUAACGUCGCAAGACCAAAGAGGGGGAGAUUCGUGCCGCUUGCCGUCGGAUGUGCGCAGAUGAGCUUGGCUUGUUGGCGGGGUAAGGGCCCACAAAGGCGACGAUCUCUCGCUGGUCUGAGAGGAUGAGCGGCCACACUGGAACUGAGACACGGUCCAGACUCCUACGGGAGGCAGCAGUGGGGAAUAUUGGACAAUGGGCGCAAGCCUGAUGCAGCCAUGCCGCGUGUAUGAAGAAGGCCUUCGGGUUGUAAAGUACUUUCAGCGGGGAGGAAGGGAGUAAGGUUAAUACCUAUGGUCAUUGACGUUACCCGCAGAAGAAGCACCGGCUAACUCCGUG
rnacentral:rRNA from 1 species